rnacentral:lncRNA from 10 species
GCCUGCUGGUCUGCUGGCGGGCAGGCGGCGCUGGGCCGGAGCCUCUCCCUCCGGUGCGCACAGCGCACCCUCUCCUCCCCCGGCCGCCCGUCGCAGCGCGGAGAGGGCGUGUCGGCACCCUGCCUGGCGAGCGCCCACCCCUACAAUGGCUGCGAGCGCGCGGGACGGAGGGUGCACCGCCGCUCCCCGGGGACUUGCACGGGUGGCGCGCCUAGCCCAGAGCCCGCUUGUAGUGAGCGCUCAGUAGGGCGGGAAAGCUGCUGCCGCUACUGCGGCCUUCUGAGAAGACGCCCAUUCUCUGAUGUCAGGACUGCAUCGCCGAGUCCUGAUUGCAAAUAGCGAAAUAUAUAAUUAAGGAGAGUUCGGGGGCGUAUCCUGCAAUGGGAUGCCGAGUUCGAUAAAGUUGCAGGAUGCUGGGAAAGUGGAUUGAUUUGCUGUUGCUAAAUGAAUGGAAACAGCGUUAGAGCUUCUGUCCACGAUCCAUCAGUCUAUCGAGAUUGCUGAUUGCCUAUGACUUGGACGGUUGAUGGUUUUCAGGCCCACUGAGAGCAGCCAGCGUUGGUAUAACCGCAGGGAGCCCUCCUGGGAGGUUGAACCUGCAGAGCGCAAAUGUGCCCAGGUUGAUUUGGGGCCUAGUGGUCCAUUUUCACAGCUCCACUGCCUAUCUGCAUAACCAGGAGCCCUCAUUCAGAUGAACGCCAAAUGGGCCAGAGGGAGGAGAAUCAAAUGAGCAACUUUUAAAAGAUAUUAAGACAUAGGCACCUAACUCCGGACAGUUCCUUUAACCCUUGAGCUAACCAUUUGAAGCACAAAACAUAACAAAAGAAAAGACUGGGGGGAGUGGGGCCAAAAGAAACCAAGUGCAAAAUUCUGUACACUUGUGUCAGAUUCACUCCGUAAUGGGAAAAGGUCUGGCUUUGAAAACUUUAUGGAUCAAAGGGAUGCAUGGAGUUACACAGCACAGCUGCAGAAGAUAAUGUUCCCCUGGAUCACUCUGCCCAACUCUUAACUGCAACCCACCUUCCCCAUCCGUCUCCCCGAAAUCACCCGGAAGGGUGUUACCUUCAGGAAGUAACUGAUCUCUUGAUCACCCCUGCUGGAUCCUGUCCCCAAGGGCGUUCGAAUGCAUCCGACUCAUCUUCACCUUGCCAAUAACGGGUGCUUGACACAUCGUUUGCUGCCAAUCAUUAUUGUGAUUUUAAUACUAUUGGUAUUCUAACUAUCAAGAUGACUGCUUGUAGAGCCAGAUUGCCUGGAUUCAAACUCCAGUUCACAACCUACUAACUGUAUGCCUUUAGGUAAACUCAGAUGCCUCUGAUGGAUUCGAAAUAACCAGAUAUAUUUCUGAAUUGCUUCAUAUGGUAUGUAAACUUAAGGUUUUCUAAACUAAUAUCUUUUUCAUGCUCUUUUAUUGCUACUCUGACCAGACCCUUAUCUUACUUAUAAAAUAUAUAUUUUUCUCAUCAUGCUUAUAUGGUACAGAAAGAGCUAAGCCCCAGAAAUACUGUUAAUGAGAGGGAGAUCAGGUCCUGGACAGUCUUGGUUUAUAACUUGCAGCAGGGAUAUCUGUUCCCCUGAGAGCCCAGUUCUCCAUAUCAAGGCACUGCAGAAGUCAAAUUAGUAGUCAGCAGGCAGCUUGGGAGCACAUAAACAAAGCAAAGGAGAUUGGAUGCUCCUGGGAGGACAGGCGUGGUUUGGUACAAAGCAGGUGCUCAAGAAAUGUCUCAGGAAUGGAACCCAACCAGGUUCCUACCCCACUAGAGAGCAGACACAAUGUCUUGGCGACCUAGAACCAUCAGAUACAGCCUCUCUUCCUCAAAUAGUCCUGGAGAAAUACAAAAUAUUAUGACUUCUUUCCCCUUUCGGAUCUUCCAACCCCGCUAUUUGACUCCCAUGAUUGGAAGCUACAAACUGGCCUGCAGAGGAGUUUUUAAAAUUGGAAAAUCUAAAAAAAAAAAAAUAAAAAAUUGGGAAAUCUAAAAAUAUUUAGAAGUUGGGAAACUUCACCUCAAGGAACAAAGUUUCAGCACUUCCAGGAAGAUAGGAACAUGUGGCAAUUCAGGGCUCACAUUCCCACCUGGCCUAGGCCUGGGGGACAGCUGGUCCGUGGGGGGAGAACUUGCUCUUUACGCUCCCCGCCACCCCCCUUCAGCCUUGCUACUAAUCAGUUCAUCACCUUUCAUUGGUUUCCUGCCCCAGUGACACAUUCUGGACAUUAGGGUUAUAUUUCGGCAUUUUUCAGCCUGCCAUCCACAAAACACAUACAAAACAUCUCUUAGGGUGAGUCAAUGUGACAGAUAUUUUUAAUUGAUCCUCGCUAAUUUCAUUUUCAAAAGGGGCCUGUUUCUAAAUGGGAACUUUUAUAUGCUGAUAACUCCCGAAUUUGUCUAAAGAAUUUAAUGACUCGAUCAGAAAGAAUUCUGUUUAUAGGUGACCAGGGCGAGCUUAAGCCAAUUUUGUUUCAUAGAUGAGCUAUGGUAAUGAUAAAUAUACAAAUAACUAACCUUUAGUGUAUACUUACUGUGUGCCAAGUACUAUCUUAAGUAAUCUCACUCAAUCCUCACAAAGCCUUAGGAGUUAGCACUUCGAUUAUCCUUAUUUUACAGAUGAAGAAACUGAGGCACAGAAGGUGGGUCAGGAGGGAGGAAGCAAAAGAGCUAGAAUUCAAACAUAGCAGCAUGACUUCGAGCCCACUGUCUUAACCACUUCAGAUAACUGCCUCUAAUGCAAAGACCCCUCUCGAAGGUCAGAAGUUUCACAAACACUGCCUUAAGUCUCAUGGCUAACUGGGAGGCCCCACAGAGCAACGUGGCUGUGCAUUAGACUCACCUGAGGAGCUUUUAAAACAUACCUAAGCUUGGCUAGGCACGGUGGCUCACAUGUAUAAUCCAAGCACUUUGGGAAGCUGAGGUGGGAGGAUCACCUGAGCCUAGGAGCUCAAGACCAGCCUGGGCAACAUAGUGGGACCGCAUCUGUACAAAAAAUUAGACAGCUGUGAUGGCAUGUGCCUACAGUCCCAGCUACUCAGGAGGCUGAGGUGAGAGGAUCGCUUGAGUGCAGGAUGUCAAGUCUGCAGUGAGAUGUGUUCACACCAUUGCAUUCCAGCCUGGAUGACAGAACGAGAACUUGUCUCAAUUAAAAAACAAAACAAAACAAACAAAAAAAAAACAAAACCCAAGCUUGAAGCAAAUACCAUAAUGGGGUAACAUUUGGGAAAUCUAAUGAAGGGGAAAUGAGAUAUCUUUGUACUAUUCUUGCAACAUUUCUAUAAGUCUGAAAUUAUGUCAAAAUAAAAAAUUAAAAGAAAAAAGAAUGAAUUAGAAUAAUAUUCAUUGACCUGGAGGGAUUUCUGCAGAAAUUAUUGUCUUCAUAGUAAGAUCCAGAAAAGUAUGUGUUAUGUGAUCCUGCUUCUGUAAAACAAACACUAACAAAAUCCAUCCACACACACCCAUUCACAUAUGCACGUGCAUCUGUAUGUCUUUAUGUGAUAAUGGAAUAAAACAUGCAUGAUACAUUUUUAAAAAUUCCAUAGCAAACCUCUGCCAGAGGUUCUUCUUGAAUUGUUUAGGAGUAGAACCUGGUCCUGGGUACUUUCUUUCAAAGUUUCCUAGAUCAGUGUUCUUAAUGUUGCCACACAUUUGAAUCACCUGGGAAGCUCUGAAACAGCCUGAUGGCCAGAUGACAGCCCAGGACAAUUAAAUCAGAUUCACUGGGAAUGGAGCCCAGGUAUGGAUGUUUUAAAAUUCCCAAGGGGAUUCCAAUGUACAGCCAAUUUGAGGACGAGGCAAGGUCCUUUGAGCAGCCAGAGUUGAGAAUCACUCCUGAGGAACAAGGGAACUCAUGUGUGUAGCCCCUACUAUGUGAUAGGCCUUUGACAUCCACUUUAAUCCUAGGAAUAGCCAGUGAGGUAGGAACUCCCAAGGAAAUAGAGGCUGGCUCCAGAGAUCAGAUAGCCUGCCAGAGGUCACAGAACUACAAGAAGGCAGUGCACACUCUAACCCCAUCAUCCACUGGGCAGUUUGGCAGGAAGCGGGGAGGGGAGUUGUUUUGGGAAGACUUCACUGACUCUCAAUCUCUCUUCUCCAAGACCACAGGGGUUGAAAUUUGUCUAAUAGAGAUUCUUUCCUUUGGGUUCCUCCUCAUAG